rnacentral:lncRNA from 1 species
GAGGGAGAGAAGGAAACCAGAUGAAGGAGGCCAAGUGCUUUACAAACCAGUGAGCCUCAGUGGAGUUAACGUCAGUGGAGAGACUAGCCCGGCAGAUAACCAAAGGCACACGUUUCUGAAUAACAAGCUUUAGUCUCUGCCUCAGACAAACUGAACAAACCUGCAGAAAAGGACAAAUGUAAGCAUUUAAAAGGGUGAAUCCCCCUGAAGGCAUCCUCUGAUCAGAUUGGUUCAGACUUCCCAUUGCAGCUCCAUAAUCAUUUAACUUAAAAGCUGAUAUAUCCUUUCCUCUCCAUCCCAAUCUCACCCACAGUGAGGCAAAGCAGAACUGUCACAUUCUCCACAGGUCUCCAAAGCUCUAUGGGCUCCCAAGACAAUGGGAUGCCCAGAAAACAAGAUUUAUUAUGCUGGAUCAUGUGACUGGAACAGAUGUCCUCGACACAGGCAGCUCAUGCUGGCGUCACAGCACAGGAUACAACACAGGAACUUGAUUUGUCCAGGAUACACAUGAGCUUCUAACAGUCAAGGACCUUGAUCAUAUGUGAGAAUAUUUGUGCCAAAGCCUCUCUCAGGAAGCUUGUGGAACACACAUCGACUGCCAAGUCCCUUGUUGGAAAACUUCAACCAAAUAUAGAAAGUCUGGAUAAGAAUUGGACAUUUUUUUCCCUUCUCUGCUGUCUGAGUUUAAGUUUGUCUGCAGCUGCUGGAGUUACACAGAGCCUUAAAAGAGUGGCCACUUUUAUUUUUUGACUAGAUUGCAAGCCAGCCUUACCACAAAGUCAUUU